rnacentral:rRNA from 1 species
AACGAACGCUGGCGGCAGGCCUAACACAUGCAAGUCGAGCGGUCCCUUCGGGGUUAGCGGCGGACGGGUGAGUAACGCGUGGGAAUAUGCCCUUCUCUACGGAAUAGUCCUGGGAAACUGGGGGUAAUACCGUAUACGCCCUUUGGGGGAAAGAUUUAUCGGGGAAGGAUUAGCCCGCGUUGGAUUAGGUAGUUGGUGGGGUAAUGGCCUACCAAGCCGACGAUCCAUAGCUGGUUUGAGAGGAUGAUCAGCCACACUGGGACUGAGACACGGCCCAGACUCCUACGGGAGGCAGCAGUGGGGAAUCUUAGACAAUGGGGGCAACCCUGAUCUAGCCAUGACGCGUGAGUGAUGAAGGCCUUAGGGUUGUAAAGCUCUUUCAGCUGGGAAGAUAAUGACGGUACCAGCAGAAGAAGCCCCGGCUAACUCCGUGC